rnacentral:rRNA from 1 species
CAGCCGUAAACAAUGUGCGUUAGGUGUGUCGGUAACCACGUGUUACUGAUGCGCCGAAGAGAAAUCGUGAAACGCACCACCUGGGAAGUACGGUCGCAAGGCUGAAACUUAAAGGAAUUGGCGGGGGAGCACCACAACGGGAGGAGCGUGCGGUUUAAUUGGAUUCAACACCGGGAAGCUCACCGGAUAGGACAGCAGAAUGAUUGCCGGGCUGAAGACCCUGCAUGACUAGCUGAGAGGUGGUGCAUGGCGUCAGUGACU